rnacentral:rRNA from 1 species
GAUGAACGCUGGCGGCGUGCCUAAUACAUGCAAGUCGAGCGAACGGACGAGAAGCUUGCUUCUCUGAUGUUAGCGGCGGACGGGUGAGUAACACGUGGAUAACCUACCUAUAAGACUGGGAUAACUUCGGGAAACCGGAGCUAAUACCGGAUAAUAUUUUGAACCGCAUGGUUCAAAAGUAAAAGACGGUCUUGCUGUCACUUAUAGAUGGAUCCGCGCUGCAUUAGCUAGUUGGUAAGGUAACGGCUUACCAAGGCAACGAUGCAUAGCCGACCUGAGAGGGUGAUCGGCCACACUGGAACUGAGACACGGUCCAGACUCCUACGGGAGGCAGCAGUAGGGAAUCUUCCGCAAUGGGCGAAAGCCUGACGGAGCAACGCCGCGUGAGUGAUGAAGGUCUUCGGAUCGUAAAACUCUGUUAUUAGGGAAGAACAUAUGUGUAAGUAACUGUGCACAUCUUGACGGUACCUAAUCAGAAAGCCCCGGCUAACUACGUG